rnacentral:tRNA from 1 species
CGGAGCGUAGCGCAGCCUGGUAGCGCACCUGCUUCGGGAGCAGGGGGUCGGAGGUUCGAAUCCUCUCGUCCCGACCA